ensembl:lncRNA
GAACAAGAUGGGCAAACCCGUGACUCGUUAUGAAAACAGGAAAGUGGAAUGAGCCGCCCCCGGCCGCUCCCUUCCCCACCGGUUCCCACAGCCAAGUACGUCCCUUCCCCGGCACAGGUACGUGAUAUUCAUGAACAAGCAGAGAAGUCAGCUGAGGGCCACACACCCCGAUCUGCCUUUCACGGAAAUCACAAAGAUGCUGGCUGCUCAGUGGGCUCAGCUGUCUCAGGACAAAAAGGGAGGUAUGUGUCCCCUGUGGACGAGGCCAAGUAGAGCUACAUCUGAGAGCUGCAGGCUUUCCAGAGCCCUGAGGCCUACUGAGCCUUCCUGCAGAGGUGUGCAGCCCACAAGGCGCUGUGUGGUGAGUGGGGACGCAGGGGUGGAUGGGAGCUCCCCUCUCCCAAGCCGGGGUCUGGGAUGUUUACACAACAGAAAGUGCGCUGGGAAAGCCCUUGGUGUUACUCCACCUCCUUCAGCGCUCACAGCAGUCACCCUGAUUGAAGAGCCAAAGCAGUUGACAUCCAGUCUCCCUUUUCAGCCCAUCCUGAACUGGUUGAAGAUUAAAGGUAAGAGGCAGCUUGUUCCCUUCUACUUGGGAGGGUCAGUGGACAUUCAGGGAGUGCUGGGGCAGUGGUUACUUUGUAGCGUUUAGAAAAGGGAAAGGAAUCACAGUGACAGACCUGGCACGUCUCAAAUUCCUGCAUGCACAUGGUCACUGCGGGUCUUGCUAGUAGGCAGGUUCUGCUCCAGCAGGCUCAGGGUGGGGCAUGGGAGUCUGCAUUUCUGACAUGCCCAUGGGCCCACACUGACGAUGCUGCAAGUUGGUUCCUGCAGCACUCACCACUCCUACACGUCCCGGCACCCUCCCGCAGCCCAGCAUCUCUGCCGUGGGCUUUUCUCAGAUGGCCAUGGGGCCAGAUGUGCAGGGCAGAGCUAGCAAACUGAGCAUCCAUGUAAACCCAUGCAGGCAGCUUUCCACCACCACUGCCAUGCUGGCACAAAUCCAAGGUGGGUUCCACACCCCAGAGAGUUCCCAUGGGACUGAGCCCCAUUCCUGUAAUGGCCCUUCCCAGUCACCUGACUCACUCCCAGCCCUACCGGUGCUUCCUGAGGUCAAUACCCAAACAAACCAUUGACACCAGAAUCGUCAUCUGGGGGGCCCAGCUCUGCCCCCAGAGCCUGAGGCAGAGGAGGGAACCCUAUUCAUUGUCUACUCACUAUGCCUUCACCAUGGAGGGCACCUUCCACUCAUUUUUCUUUUUCAUGCUUUUUGAAAAUAUUCUCAACGCAGAGCCCAUCAGAGGCACGUUUAUGUUGAGACCCACAGGGUGGCCACCAGCCACCAGGAUUCCAGUCUCCUCUGAGGGGCACAGGCCCGCAGGGCAGCAUUGAAGUGUCCUUGUCAGUGGGGGUCCAGGUGCCAGUCUCUGGCCCCACCAGUGGCUGCUCCAGGGCAGAGGUAGGCCUCUCCCAGUGGUCCUGGGUCCACCCCCAUUCACCCCGCAUGUUCCUGCCUGCGCUCUCCAUGGUCCGGGCUGGCCUGCGUCCCUAGGACAUCACAGCAAGGCCUGCCUAUCCUUCACAUUGCCGCCUCUCUGGCUGAGCACCGGAGGAAGCGUGCAUCAGGGGCUCUGCCAUCCACGAGACUCCAAGACCAGCCACGUAUGUCCCAUGCUCCCACCGGGACUGGCUGAGAGAACUGCCUUCCUAGUGACCAGGGUGUGGGCUCCAGAGUCCAAGUACCCAGGUUGGAAUGCCAGCUCUACCACUUGGGGGCUCUCUGUGGCCCUACACAAAUUGCUGGAACACUUGCUGC